rnacentral:lncRNA from 1 species
AUAUCACUGGUGGAUUAUGAAACUCAUCGAGCAUCAUUUUGAUGAUCGAUAACCCUCGAAGGGUGGAAUUGAAAAUGUUCCAAUCCAUCGAAAAGAGUUUCGAUGAUAUUAUGAUGGAGAUCACAAUAUAUCUCACUACCAGAUAGAAUGGAACCUAUGAGGUCACACAUUAAGAAAUUUAAUCUCGAAUUUGCCAAUUGAACUUAUGAAGUUCUAAUUGAAUUAGGAUUUAUUGAAAUCCUAUUGGAUUUAAUAGAACCAUGCUAGCACAUGGUUAAAUCUAAUUCUCCUCGAAACUUCAAUUGGAUCAAGUCCAUAGCCUUGAACCUAACCUAAAUCCAUUUGGGUUUAAUUGGGCUCUUAAUUGUAAGCCCAAGAAGAUUGGAUUAUGUCAAUGAGUUGGCAUGAAUUAUCUCCUCAUUAUCUCUACAUUAUCUCCUAAUUAUUUCUAAAUGGUGUAAGGAAUAGUUGGAAAGAAUGGGUGGCGCCUACCUCCCCUUUUGGCAGGACCAUAGGGCACUAAUCCCAAGGAUAAUGCAAGAGGGGUCCGCCCCAUCUUGUGGCUUGGCAUGGAGGAGAGAGAGAGAGGGGCCACGCCCCCUCUCGUAUGUCAGAAAACCCUAAGGGGGCACCCCAACUACCUGCCCUAUGUAAGAUGGGGCACCCCAUAUACCUGUCUAAAGGAGCUAAUUAUAUGCCAAUUAAGUCUGAUUUUAUUGAAAAAAAUCAGAUUAAAAAGGUAGAGUAUUCUUAUGAAAUAAGGAUGUACCUUUUUAAGUUAAUUGGGUUCUUCUUUUGAGUCAAGGUAGAGCCUAUAUAAAGAGAAGGUCUUUUAGAGUUUCAAGAUAGUUGAAUUUUGUGAAACAAAACUCUCCCCCUCCUUUCUCCACGCCUCCCCUCCUCCCUCUUCUCUUUCCCACGCCCAAGGAUUGGGCAUCCCACUCUUCUACACACCAAAGGUGGAGGUGAUCUUCUUCCAGAGCGAAGAACAAGGAGAAGAAGGCUACAGAUCAAAGAGUUGAUUUCAUGGUCUAGAUCAAGGAGUUGAUCGAGGUUCUAAAGCUGAAAUUCUACUUGAAGAAGAAGAAUCUACUACGAGAAGAUCGGUUCGAGAUUGAUCCCAAUGGAUAUCCGUAGAAGCCGGACACGUGUGCAGCUCGAGGACCUUGAACGUAAGAUCAUCAAUAGCGGUGAAUUUCUACCCGUGCCNNNNNNNNNNNNNNNNNNNNAUCUCUACAUUAUCUCCUAAUUAUUUCUAAAUGGUGUAAGGAAUAGUUGGAAAGAAUGGGUGGCGCCUACCUCCCCUUUUGGCAGGACCAUAGGGCACUAAUCCCAAGGAUAAUGCAAG